rnacentral:sRNA from 2 species
AUAACAGCUGAGCUCUUCAGUUUUCGGUUGUAACUUUGAGAUGCUUACCGUGAAUGAGCGAGUUCGAAUCAAGAACCACGUCCUCUUCUCGAACAUGCAUUGGAGAGGGUCAGAAAUUGCCAUCCGUGCUAUGGACUGGUUGAUUUCCCUUCGAUUACUCAAUGGCUUGCAGCUCCACAAAGCCAAACCGCUUAAAUCUUAACGGUAGCAGGAAUGAAAUCAAACGCUCUCUGUUAUCUUCUUCGUGGCUAUAGAUUACCCAAACCCAAUUAUUCUCAACUUCUGUUCUACUAGCGCUAUGCGCAACCAACCACGAACUAUCAGUUCCAUUUCAGUGUCUUUUAAUCUUCCAACAGCGGUUCCUUACAAUAAAAAUUUCAUAGGAAAUUUCCAGUCCAUCUAUUGGAAAUGUGAGCAAUACUUUAUACACACGUUUCGUCCACGUACUUGAUGAAGUCUUGAGUUUGAGUAGGGCAGCUACAUAGAGCACUACGAAACUCUGAAAUGUUCGGCGAUCUAAGGCAUCUAACCCAUCAUGGGUGUGUUUAGUUUAUCAUUGUUAUUACUAUUUUGGAAGCCUGCUGGAUCUCACACUAUAGCUCGUUAUGUAUAUAGAAAUUGCUGGGACCGCGGAAUCGGGCUCAUAACGUUUCAUGCUUGUUUGAGUAAAAAGUUGUCAAACUGCUAAAACGGUGAGCCAAUUUGCCGCCGAUACCUCUUGCAAAUUAUUUCUUGCGACUUGCUCAACGGCUACUGUCUAUGCGGUGUGGCUGAAUGGCUCUAAGAAAGGAAGCAGCAGUUUUAUAUCUCAAGAAUGAACAG